UUGAAACGGUGGAUUAAUUAU
rnacentral:siRNA from 1 species